rnacentral:snRNA from 1 species
UGAUGUGACAGUGAUCUGUCUGUGACAUCUGUCACCCCAUUGAUCAGCAGGGUUGAUUCAGCUGCUCUGGCUGUCUGGGGGGGGGGUCCCUUUCCUCCCUGACCACUUUAUGUGUGGCUCUCCCAAAGCUACUCUCAGUCAAAGAGGACGACCUUCCCUGAAUUGAGUGUGUAUUUAAAG